UACAGAGGGUGCAAGCGUUUAAUCGGAAUACUGGGCGUAAAGCGUGCGCAGGCGGUUUUGUAAGUUUGUCGUGAAAUCCCCGGGCUCAACCUGGGAAUGGCGAUGAAGACUGCAAGGCUAGAAUCUGGCAGAGGGGGGUAGAAUUCCACGUGUGAGCAGUGAAAUGCGUAGAGAUGUGGAGGAACACCGAUGGCGAAGGGCAGCCCCCUGG
rnacentral:rRNA from 1 species